UAAAAACUUGCAGGGUGCAGUAGAGCCAUGGCAUCUCUGAAUGUACUGCAAUUCAUGAAUUUCCAAUUAUACCCUUCCUUCCUUCCUUCUUCCAUUAGUGGUGGUUGAUUUCAGGCGCCCAUCGUGAAAUUCCAAUAGUGACCCUACACAGUAGAUAGGCGACCGCCCUUAGAGGCAGCCGCUCUGCCGGCGGCGAGGGUUUCUGUCGGAUUACGAGACUUAUUAUUACAAUCAGAGAUUCGACCAUUUCAACUAUGCAACGUUCCGACAGACGUACCUGGUACGCCGGAGAUGAGGCUGUGCUGUGUAAUUGAUGCGACGCAGUUUAGGGUUUAGGGAUAAGUGUACAGGGAUUCAAGAAAGAGACGAUCGAGUCAUCAUCAACGGGUGCCAAUAUAUAUUGCUAAAACGGGAUCAGAGAUCCGGGACCUCUCCUGGUUUACCAAUUACCUCUGUCCGAACGUCGCAUAAUUAAAAUGGUCGAGUGUCUGAUCGUAAUAAUAGGUCUGGUAAUUCGACAAAAAAAAUCCUCGCUGCAGGACAGCAACUGCGUCUCAAGGCGGCCGACUCUCUAUUGUAUUGGGACAGUAUUGGAAUUUCAUGUCGGGAGCCGAAAACAAAUAAUUUAGGCCUAUGAUUUGUAUUAUUUAAGAUUUUAAUUAUUGUAUUCUUUUAUCUUCGAUAUUAGAAAAUGUAAAUCCAAACAAUUCUCAGGCCAAACUCCAAACAUUGGCCCAAUCCAAUUCUUAACGCAAUGAUUAGUUCAUUUUUAAUUA